CUCAAAUAAAACUCCAGGCCCACAUGACUUCACUGGUGAAUUAUAUCAAAUAUUAAAAGAAGAAAUAACAUCACUCCCAUACAAACUUUUACAGAAAAUAGAGGAGGAAGUUACCACUUCCCAACUUAUCCUAUGAGAGUCCCCACAGCCACCCUCCAUUGCAGAGAAUUGCCCCACACAUCUGCUGCGCACCCACGCCCUGGAGAUAGAGUUAUAAUUCCCAUCUCACAGAUGAAGGAACUAAGGCAAAGAGAGGCAAACUAAACGUGUGUGCACCAGUUGGGCAAAACUUCCAACCCAAAUGGGGACAGCAAGGUCCCCAUCUACUCCCCACAUCAAACGGCAAUGCUUGCAAGAGUCCCCAAGAAGUGGGUGCUUAGAGGGAAAGAUGCCAUUCCUUUCUGGAUCUUUGGGAAACCAGCUGAAAUGCGCCUGGCUCUGGAACAUUCAUCCAAAGUCUCUGGGACCAGGCUUCACUCCCCCAACCCAAGGAAAGGCAGGAAACUCCCUCAUGGAAACCACUCUUCCUCCUACCUUAACCGACUCGGGACUCGUGACGAUGACUGAGGUUUUGUGGAAGACGUUAACCCGCACAACAGGUCCAUACUUCUUAGCCCUGGAAACCAAAGUGACCCGAAGGAAACUGUCAACCACCUGAGGUAUGACCAUCACCAACCCCGCCCAGCAGAGAAACCGAUGUGUCCCGUCCCAGAAGGUGCUCAAUGCAUGCUACCAAAAGAGUGCUGUGCUGGGGCCCAGGAGCCCUGGGGGCAAGGCUCUGCCCUGUUGCUCACUUGCCGAGUCAUGUCCCCCAGCAGGCCUCAGUUUCCACAGCCAUGGAAUAGGGUUGGAAACACUCCUUCUUUGAUUGUCCCAAAACGUUGUCCUGGGAAUCAAAUGAUUUGCAUCUUUGAAAGUACUUUGAAAAAUGUAAAAAAGUGUCACACCAAACAAUGACUGUUA
rnacentral:lncRNA from 1 species